UGGUCCCGUACGAUCACCGUCGUUAAGCAACGUCGAGCCUGGUCAGUAUUUAGAUGGGUGACCAUUUAGGAAUACCAGGUACUGUAA